rnacentral:rRNA from 1 species
ACUCCUACGGGAGGCAGCAGUGGGGAAUAUUGGACAAUGGGGGCAACCCUGAUCCAGCGACGCCGCGUGAGUGAAGAAGUAUUUCGGUAUGUAAAGCUCUAUCGAUAACGGAAGAAAAUGACAAGCCGUUAAGGAAGAAGCCCCGGCUAACUACGUGCCAGCAGCCGCGGUAAUACGUAGGGGGCAAGCGUUAUCCGGAUUUACUGGGUGUAAAGGGAGCGUAGACGGCAUAUAAAGUCUGAAGUGAAAUCCCGCAGCUCAACUGCGGAGUUGCUUUGGAAACUUAUAAGCUGGAGUGUCGGAGGGGUAAGCGGAAUUCCCAGUGUAGCGGUGAAAUGCGUAGAUAUUGGGAGGAACACCGGAGGCGAAGGCGGCUUACUGGAAGAUAACUGACGUUGAGGCUCGAAGGCGUGGGUAGCAAACAGGAUUAGAUACCCUUGUAGUCCUAUC